rnacentral:rRNA from 1 species
GACGAACGCUGGCGGCGUGCUUAACACAUGCGAGUCGAACGGUGAAGCGCUUUCCUUUUUGGUUGGUGUGGAUGAGUGGCGAACGGGUGAGUAACACGUGAGUAACCUGCCCCCUUCUUCUGGAUAACCGCAUGAAAGUGUGGCCAAUACGGGAUAUUCUGCGCCUGCUGCAUGGUGGGUGUGGGAAAGAUUGUGCCUUUGGGUGUUUUCGGUGGGGGAUGGGCUCGCGGCCUAUCAGCUUGUUGGUGGGGUGAUGGCCUACCAAGGCGGUGACGGGUAGCCGGCCUGAGAGGGUGGACGGUCACACUGGGACUGAGACACGGCCCAGACUCCUACGGGAGGCAGCAGUGGGGAAUAUUGCACAAUGGGCGCAAGCCUGAUGCAGCGACGCCGCGUGAGGGAUGGAGGCCUUCGGGUUGUGAACCUCUUUCGCCAGUGAAGCAGGCCUGCUCCUUGUGGGUGGGUUGACGGUAGCUGGAUAAGAAGCGCCGGCUAACUACGUG